GGAAGGGGCCGAUCUGAAAGGGAAAUCGUGCCCUGCGUACCUGUGGAAUCUGAUUUGGUCCUAGAUGGAUCAGUCAGGUAAGGGUACCUGGAUCCGAGUGAACAGAGUUGGGUCGGGUGGUAUUUGUCCGUUUUCACAGGUCUCACCGUAUGGAUUAUUGGCCAUUCUUUCGUAUAUUGG